UACGAAGGGGGCUAGCGUUGUUCGGAAUCACUGGGCGUAAAGCGCACGUAGGCGGAUUGUUAAGUCGGGGGGUGAAAUCCUGGAGCUCAACUCCAGAACUGCCUUCGAUACUGGAAAGCUCGAGUCCGGGGAGAGGUGAGUGGAACUGCGAGUGUAGAGGUGAAAUUCGUAGAUAUUCGCAAGAACACCAGUGGCGAAGGCGGCUCACCUGGCCCGGUACUGACGCUGAGGUGCGAAAGCGUGGGGAGCAAACAGG
rnacentral:rRNA from 1 species